GUUAGGGUUAGGGUUGGAGCUAGGGUUAGGGUUAGGGUUAGGGUUGGAGUUAGGGUUAGUGUUGGAGCUAGGGUUAGGGUUGGUCCUGGAGCUAGGAUUUUUCUGAGUGCAAUGAACCAACUCCCGAGUCUCUAGGACGUUCCUAAAAAAAUUUGAUUUUUUCCCAUAGUAAUGCAUGGGUUAGGGUUAGGGUUAGGGUUGUAGCUAGGGUUAGGGUUAGGGUUAGGGUUGGAGUUAGGGUUAGUGUUGGAGCUAGGGUGAGGGUUGGGCUUGGAGCUAGGAUUUUUCUGAGUGCA